rnacentral:rRNA from 1 species
CCUACGGGUGGCAGCAGUGGGGAAUAUUGCACAAUGGGGGAAACCCUGAUGCAGCGACGCCGCGUGAAGGAAGAAGUAUUUCGGUAUGUAAACUUCUAUCAGCCGGGAAGAAAAUGCCGGUACCUGACUAAGCAGCCCCGGCUCACUAAGUGCCAGCAGCCGCGGGAAUCCGUAGGGAGCAAGCGUUAUCCGUAUUUACUGGGAGUAAAGGGAGCGUAGGCGGUUUAGCAAGUCAGAAGUGAAAGCCCGGGGCUCAACUCCGGGACUGCUUUUGAAACUGUUGAACUAGAUUGCAGGAGAGGUAAGUGGAAUUCCGAGUGUAGCGGGGAAAUGCGUAGAUAUUAGGAGGAACACCAGUGGCGAAGGCGGCUUACUGGACUGUAAAUGACGCUGAGGCUCGAAAGCGUGGGGAGCAAACAGGAUUAGAUACCCGGGUAGUC